UUAAUCAAAAGGAGUUAUUUAUUUAUUAUCAUGUGAAUGUGGGCUUCAAUAUGUGGGUAAAACUACCAGGGCACUUAAUAUAAGAAUUAGUGGACAUAUAAAGAAAUAUAAAGAGAGGUUUCACUAACCAUAGAGUGUUAAAAAAUGUUUUAGGUAAACAUAACUCUGAUCCAAAAAAAUUAAAAUUUUGUGCAAUAGAAAAAGUUACCACGCAUUGGAGAGGGAGUGAUUAUAAUAAAAAACUAAGUCUGCAGGAAACAAAAUGGAUUUUUGAAUUACGCACUAUAACCCCAAAAGGAUUGAACAUAGAUUUUGAAAUUAAUUGCAUUUUAUAAUCUAGCCCCUUUAAAUAGAAACUGAUUAUUUCCAUUUUUUAUUAAACUUUUAUUGGUCCUUUUUUAUACAAAAUGUCCCUUAUCUAUUUAUUU